UACGGAGGAUCCAAGCGGUUAUCCGGAAUCAUUGGGUUUAAAGGGUCCGUAGGCGGUUUGGUAAGUCAGUGGUGAAAGCCCAUCGCUCAACGGGUGGAACGGCCAUUGAUACUGCCAGACUUGAAUUAUUAGGAAGUAACUAGAAUAUGUAGUGUAGCGGUGAAAUGCUUAGAGAUUACAUGGAAUACCAAUUGCGAAGGCAGGUCACUACUAAUGGAUUGACGCUGAUGGACGAAAGCGUGGGUAGCGAACAGG
rnacentral:rRNA from 1 species